GACGAACGCUGGCGGCGUGCUUAACACAUGCAAGUCGAACGAAGUGGCGCACGGGUGAGUAACGCGUAAUCAACCUGCCCUUCAGAGGGGGACAACAGUUGGAAACGACUGCUAAUACCGCAUACUGAAGGAGGGGAUUGCGUCUGAUUAGCUAGUUGGAGGGGUAAAGGCCCACCAAGGCGAUGAUCAGUAGCCGGUCUGGAAGGAGGAACGGCCACAAUGGGACUGGGACGCGGCCCUGAUAUCUAAGGGAGGCAGCAAUAGGGAAUCAUCCGAAAUGGAGUAAAGGCCGCCGGAAGAAAGCCGCGGGGGUGUUGACGAGGCUGAGGUUGUGAAGCUCUGGGUAUCAGGGCGCGGUACCGAAAGAGGAAGCCACGACUAACUACGGGCCAGCGGCCGCGGUAAUUC
rnacentral:rRNA from 1 species